UUAGGAAUAUUCCACAAUGGGCGAAAGCCUGAUGGAGCAACGCCGCGUGGAGGAUGAAGGCCCUCGGGUCGUAAACUUCUUUUAAUAGCGAAGAAUAUGACGGUAGCUAUUGAAUAAGGGUCUGCUAACUACGUGCCAGCAGCCGCGGUCAUACGUAGGACCCAAGCGUUAUCCGGAUUGACUGGGCGUAAAGAGUUGCGUAGGUGGUAAAUCAAGCGAAUAGUGAAAUCUUGUGGCUUAACCAUAAGUCCAUUGUUCGAACUGUUUUACUCGAGAGCAGGAGAGGUAUCUGGAAUUCCCAGUGUAGGAGUGAAAUCCGUAGAUAUUGGGAGGAACACCGAUGGCGUAGGCAGGAUACUGGACUGUUUCUGACACUAAGGCACGAAAGCGUGGGGAGCGAACUGGAUUAGAUACCCAGGUAGUCCACGCUGUAAACUAUGGAUGCUAGCAGUAAGCCGUAUCGACCCGGUUUGUUGCGAAGCUAACGCGUUAAGCAUCCCGCCUGGGUAGUACGAACGCAAGUUUAA
rnacentral:rRNA from 1 species